CCGCUUGACAUCCACUUGCGGGCGUGUUAGAAUUUAUAUGUCUAUUGACUACGACAAUAAACGGAUUGCGUAAUAGGCAUUGUGGACCCGGGGGCGGUACCCGGCGCCUCCACCAAAGGAGCGAAGCUGUUCGUGAGCGAGGCUGCGUUGUAUGGGGGCGAAAUAGGUUCGACAUGGUGCGAUAAAGGCCUUCCUUUUGUCCGGCAUUGUACCACCGUUAUCGGGCUGUUUUAAUAAAUGCCAACUUAAAAGGGCAAGGAAAGGGAAGUGUUCGUCAGCUCAAUAGGGCACGGGUCGCGAAAGCGGUUCAGCUCAACAGGGCAGAUGCUGUUGCGAAAGCUGCUUAAUCGCCUCUAUAGGUGUUAACUGCUUUUGGUGACAUAUUGCUUUUUAAGUGAUAUACUUCCUGCGGUCGGUGGGGCUGCCGAGCAACAGAAAGCCCCACG
rnacentral:tmRNA from 1 species